rnacentral:ribozyme from 1 species
UUUUUUUUUUUUUUUUUUUUUGAUACCAAUUGUUGCUGCACUCCUGGGGAAAAAUCAAUUUUUCAAAAAAACAAUAACCAAACAUUUUUGGAAACCAGGAAUGAAAAGUGGCUUUU